rnacentral:rRNA from 1 species
AUUGAACGCUGGCGGCAUGCUUUACACAUGCAAGUCGAACGGUAACAGGCCGCCAGGUGCUGCCGAGUGGCGAACGGGUGAGUAAUGCAUCGGAACGUGCCCAGUCGUGGGGGAUAACUACUCGAAAGAGUAGCUAAUACCGCAUACGAUCUAUGGAUGAAAGCGGGGGACCGUAAGGCCUCGCGCGAUUGGAGCGGCCGAUGUCAGAUUAGGUAGUUGGUGGGGUAAAGGCUCACCAAGCCAACGAUCUGUAGCUGGUCUGAGAGGACAACCAGCCACACUGGGACUGAGACACGGCCCAGACUCCUACGGGAGGCAGCAGUGGGGAAUUUUGGACAAUGGGCGAAAGCCUGAUCCAGCAAUGCCGCGUGCAGGAAGAAGGCCUUCGGGUUGUAAACUGCUUUUGUACGGAACGAAACGGCUCUGGUUAAUACCCGGGGAUAAUGACGGUACCGUAAGAAUAAGCACCGGCUAACUACGUG